UUGGGUUGACCCUCACCAAGUCCACAAAGCCAUAGGUUUUUCAAGGACAACGCUUUCAGGGUUUAUGAUCUGAGCUCCUUCUCCCCACUGCUUCGCUCUAGCCCCCGCAAAAUGCCACCUUUAACCUCCCUCAACCUCCGUCAUCUCCUCCGCCUCUACCAACUUUCCUCUCCACCACCACCAAUAACUUUCUCUUUGCGUUCUACCCCUGCCCAUCACCCCAAAAUCCCAGCUUUACCCUUCUGUCUCUCCCAAAGACCCUUCUCCUCCUCCCAAACCUUAAACCCUAGCAACACUGAAAGUCCAGAUCCCGCAAUAGUUCAGUCUUUAUCUACUGAGAUUUCAAGAGACCCAAACACUGAUCCUUUAUCAAUCUCAGAAAGGCUCCACCUUUCCUUCUCGCACUUAACAAAGAACAACGCUUUAACACCUUCCCUGGUCCUGCAAACCCUCAAGCUUUCUCCUGAUGCAGGCCGUACAGUUAUUGGGUUUCACGAUUGGCUUAUUAAAGAUGCAAACUUUGAGCAAAAUGACGAGUCUUUGGCCCUUUUUGUUGACUAUUUUGGUAGAAGAAAGGAUUUUAAAGCAGCCCAUGAUUUGCUUGUUGAAGGUAAAAGUGUUGCUGGGGUUAAGUGUUUUGAGUCUAUGAUUGAUAGGCUUGUGAGAGCAGGGAGGACAACACAGGUCAUUGGGUUUUUUGAGAGAAUGGAGAGGGAUUAUGGGUUUAAGAGAGACAAGGAAAGUCUUACGUUUGUAGUUCAGAAGUUGUGUGAAAAUGGGUAUGCAAGUUAUGCUGAGAAAAUGGUGAAGAAUUUGGCUAAUGAGAUAUUUCCUGAUGAUGGUAUUUGUGAUUUGUUAAUUAAAGGUUGGUGUGUUGAUGGGAAAUUAGAGGAGGCUAAAAGAUUAGCAGGGGAGAUGUAUAGAGGUGGUUUUGAGAUUGGUACAAUGGCGUUUAAUGCUAUGCUUGACUGUGUUUGCAAGCUUUGUCGGGAAAAGGAUCCUUUUAGGUUGGAGUCGGAGGUGGAGAAGGUGUUGAUGGAAAUGGAUAUUCGUGGAGUUCCACGAAAUGUGGAGACUUUUAAUGUGUUGAUUAGUAAUCUGUGCAAGGUAAGGAGAACUGAGGAUGCAAUGAAGUUGUUUUCUAGGAUUGGGGAAUGGGGUUGCUGUCCAGAUGAGACUACAUUUCUUGUUUUGAUUAGGAGCUUGUAUCAGGCAGCGAGAGUUGGUGAGGGGGAUGAGAUGAUUGAUAGAAUGAAGAGUGCAGGGUAUGGUGAUAAGCUGGAUAAGAAGGCUUAUUAUGGAUUUUUGAAGAUUUUGUGUGGGAUCGAGAGGCUUGAGCAUGCUAUGAGCGUGUUUGAGAUGAUGAAGGCAGAUGGGUGCAAGCCUGGGAUCAAGACUUAUGAUUUGUUGAUGGGGAAGUGGUGUGCCCAUAAUCGUCUUGAUAAAGCAAAUGUUCUUUAUAAUGAAGCAUUGAGCAAUGGGGUGACAGUGACACCCAAAGAGUACAGGGUGGAUCCGAAGUUUAUGAAAAAACCGAAGGCUGUUAAGAAAGAGAAGAAGAGGGAGACAUUGCCAGAGAAAAUGGCAAGGAAGAGGAGGCGGCUUAAGCAGAUUAGAUUGAGUUUUGUGAAGAAGCCCAAGAAGGGGAUGCGCCGUGCCCUUUGAUCUCUAUCCAAUUCAUAUUUCAUCAAGUAAGGAUGUAUGGCAAUGUUGGUUGCUGUUUGUUUUGAGAUUCAAUCUUGUUUGGAGGUUGUUAUUGUAUGCUAGGAAUAAAAUGUUUCUUCUGGUUCACAUGUGCUUGAAACAGUAUAAGCAGUAUAUUUUCGGUCAGAACCAAAUUCAUUGAACUUGCAAAUUUCUGAGGUCUGAUAGCAUGAUCAUUUGCGCUUUGCCCGUUUCCUUCAACUACAGUGUUUUUCUACCGCGCACUCUACUGAUAAUGUUUGGAGCAUGUGCUUUUGAAUUUCUUCAUUUUAACUGUUUUAAUUCAGACGAGCCUGUUUUCCGCUAAAUAGAUAUCAGUCGACGCGACCUCACCCUUUCUCUUAGCUUGAAUCCUGUGUCUUGUAGGUUGAGAGAGGCACCGAUAAAUAUUAGGAUGAUAUGAAAGGUCGAAUUCUCCCUUGGUAACUUAUCUUAGCAUUCAAACAUGGUUUACAUUUUAGUUUGAGAUUGAUGUAAUCAAUGGACUUCCUGAUAUUAUUGUCAAUUUAUAAGAACUUAUUCU